rnacentral:rRNA from 1 species
UCCACUGAGAUCCAGCCCCGCGUCGACGGAUUCGU